UCAUGUGCAGGAUAAGGAAUAACUUAUGCUAAAGACAUAAGACCAGACGAUAAGCAAGAACUUGAUGAGGCUUUACAAAGAGAGAUGAGGGAAGAAGACGAGGAAAUUGAAGCUGAUGGUGCCAAUUACCAGCUUGAAAUGAUGAGGUGCUUUUGAGAGGUCAAUGUGGACAAUAAUACAGUUGGAUGGUACAAGUCUACAUUGCUUGGCUCCUAUCAAACUGUGGAGCUGAUUGAAACCUUUAUGAAUUACCAGGUCGCGUACAGAUAGAUCAAUCAAAUAAAGAAACUGAUUUGCUCAAAAAUAACAAUGACUUGAUUUAUGCUUCAGUUGAUAAAACUCCUGAAGGUGUUUCUGAAGCUCUUCACCCAGCCACUGAAGCAUUAUUACAUGACAUUCCAUUUGUUGGUAAAGAUUCAGUUGUAGUCCAAGAAAUUUCUUACAAUGAGAUCAUUGCAAAGGGAAGUUUAGUGGUAAAUGGUAUUCAGUCAAAGCAGGAACAAGUAGAAAAUCGACUUCAUAACCAGGGUGCUGGGGAUAUUCCAAAAUAUGUGAAUCUUGAACCGUCACUAGCAAUGGACUGGCUUGAGAUAUCAUGGGAUGAGCUGCGGAUCAAAGAAAGAACGCAUUGGUGCUGGAUCAUUUGGGACAGUGUACCGUGCUGAAUGGCAUGGAUCACCAGUGGCAUCUACAAUAAACACAUUAGCAGGUGCAUUGUACAAAGUGUUUUGUGCAUCUCCUGAUCCAGCUAGCAUUGAAAUGCACCGAGCAUGUUUUGAUUAUUUGAGCCUUGGAGGUGUUUGCUCAGACGGACCAAUAGCUCUACUCUCCGGUUUGAAUCCGCGUCCAUUGAGCUUGGUUCUACAUUUCUUCGCGGUGGCUGUAUAUUGGUUUUAUCCCCUUUAUGGU